GGCCGCGGGAAUUCGAUUGGAUCGCCCUUAGAGUUUGAUCAUGGCUCAGGAUGAACGCUAGCGAUAGGCCUAACACAUGCAAGUCGAGGGGCAGCACAUGAAGUAGCAAUACGGAUGGUGGCGACCGGCGCACGGGUGAGUAACGCGUAUGCAACCUGCCUACAACAGGGGAAUAACCCGUUGAAAGACGGACUAAUACCCCAUAACACAGGGAUCCCGCAUGGGAAUAUUUGUUAAAGAUUUAUCGGUUGUAGAUGGGCAUGCGUUCCAUUAGCUUGUUGGUGAGGUAACGGCUCACCAAGGCAACGAUGGAUAGGGGAACUGAGAGGUUUAUCCCCCACACUGGUACUGAGACACGGACCAGACUCCUACGGGAGGCAGCAGUGAGGAAUAUUGGUCAAUGGACGCAAGUCUGAACCAGCCACGUCGCGUGAAGGAAGACGGCCCUACGGGUUGUAAACUUCUUUUGUAAGGGAAUAAAGUGUAGUACGUGUACUAUUUUGCAUGUACCUUACGAAUAAGGAUCGGCUAACUCCGUGCCAGCAGCCGCGGUAAUACGGAGGAUCCGAGCGUUAUCCGGAUUUAUUGGGUUUAAAGGGUGCGCAGGCGGGUGAUUAAGUCGGCGGUGAAAUUUUGCAGCUCAACUGUAAAAGUGCCUUCGAAACUGGUUUCCUUGAGUGUGGAUGAAGUAGGCGGAAUUUGUGGUGUAGCGGUGAAAUGCAUAGAUAUCACGAGGAACUCCGAUUGCGCAGGCAGCUUACUAAAC
rnacentral:rRNA from 1 species